GAUGAACGCUGGCGGCGUGCUUAACACAUGCAAGUCGAACGAAGCAUUUAAGACAGAUUACUUCGGUUUGAAGUCUUUUAUGACUGAGUGGCGGACGGGUGAGUAACGCGUGGGUAACCUGCCUCAUACAGGGGGAUAGCAGCUGGAAACGGCUGGUAAUACCGCAUAAGCGCGCAGUACCACAUGGUACAGUGUGAAAAACUCCGGUGGUAUGGGAUGGACCCGCGUCUGAUUAGCUAGUUGGCGGGGUAACGGCCCACCAAGGCGACGAUCAGUAGCCGACCUGAGAGGGUGACCGGCCACAUUGGGACUGAGACACGGCCCAGACUCCUACGGGAGGCAGCAGUGGGGAAUAUUGCACAAUGGAGGAAACUCUGAUGCAGCGACGCCGCGUGAGUGAAGAAGUAGUUCGCUAUGUAAAGCUCUAUCAGCAGGGAAGAUAGUGACGGUACCUGACGAAGAAGCUCCGGCUAAAUACGUG
rnacentral:rRNA from 1 species